rnacentral:tRNA from 1 species
GCAUCUGUUGCUCAGUUGGUUAGAGCGCUGCACCGGAAUCGCAGGGCCGUAGGUUCAAUUCCUACCAGAGGAC